rnacentral:tRNA from 1 species
GCGGGUGUAGCUCAAUGGUAGAGCACCGGCCUUCCAAGCCGGCAGUGUGAGUUCGAUUCUCAUCACCCGCU